rnacentral:lncRNA from 1 species
AUCUCCAUGAAGGUGAACCCACGCUCCCAGACACUGCCUGGCAGGAGGUAAGAUCCCAUCCUUAUUCGUUGGGUGAGUGAAUGAAUGGAGGUGGAGAAGGGAAGCCUUAGUUAUAGAAAUCGUCCAGGAAGUUCCCCCAGACCCAGGAGUUACACUUCUUGAAUCCCGACAUUCUGUAACUCCAAAGACCGUCGGAGUAGAAAAAAACCCAGGGAACUUAGUUAGACACCAGUGGGUGUGAAGCACUUUGCCGUGUCCCCAGCCACCCCCCUUGGAUGACCUUGGGGAAGUCACCUGGUCUCUCCUCCUCAGCCCUGCACGCCCUUUCUUCUCUCUUUCCCGUCUCCUUCCUUGUUUUCUCGGUUCCCUGUUUUUGUCCCUGCCUCUGCCUAAAACUCAUCAGUGGCCCCCGUGGCACUUAGCUUUCCGCUAAGUGACUUAGGUGAGGGCGGCACAGGGGUUGGGGGGGCGGUGGUUACUUUUCCGAAACACUGUCUUUUUCUUUUCUUUUUAAGUUUAUUUAUGUAUUUUGAGAGAGAGCGAGCACGAGGAGGGGAGGGGCAGAGAGAGAGAGACAGAAAAUCCCAAGCAGAUUCCCAGCCGUCAGUGGAGAGCCCGACGUGGGUCUUGAUCUCACAGUUGGGAGAUCGUGACCUGAGCCGAAAUCAACAGGUGGCCACCUAACCGACCGAGCCAGCCACCCAGGCACCCCUGAAAUGUUGUCUAUUUCUUAAGGACUUGAAACAUGGAAUCGGAUGGCACUUUUGCCGGCUGACACAGGGGCCUGGGGGUGUAUUUCCAACAGCGAUUGCUUGGUUUUAUUUUGUUUACUGCUGGGUCUCCCGGGGUCAGAUUAACCACACUUCUAGAAAGACAGGGACUUUGCCUGAAUUUCUGAGGCAAUCCUUCCCCCACAGAAAACGGAGACUUUGAUUAAAAUGACCCGAUUGCCUGCUUGUAGCUUCCUUCCGUGUUCCAGAAUAUGAUAGGCAUACAGCGUUUCUUCUUUCUAAUUGCCCCUUAAUUCACUUUUAGUUUUUUUCCUAUGUAGGCAAUUCGAAGGAGAGGCCCGUGCAGCUUUGCACGAUAAUGUAUUAGAAAGGCAUUUUCAAGGAAUCCGUUGUUAGCAUUGUUUGUACGCACGGUUCAAAUUUACUGGCAAAGUGCGCGGGCCUCGGGUUUACGAGGUAGCGGUCUGCCAGGCUCCUUCCGGGAGAAACCCUGAAAUGGGAGAAGUGCCCUUUUGGUUUCCCUCACCCACGCGUCCUUUGCCUUCUUCCUCUCCUUUCAACACCUCCCUCCGUUCCCGGCCCUACAGAACUCUGUGGAACAGCCGGGCCUUUUACACCUUAACGUGAAGACAUUUUAUGGGUUCUCCCCCACCCCGGCUCCAGGCCGGGCCCCCAUGGAAGCGAGGUGUGCAAAGGAAUAAAUCUUCAAUGGUAUAAUUUUAGACCGUGUGGCAACUGGGAAGGGCGGCUAUUUUGGGCUGCGGGGCUUUCUCCUUGACCUGAGAUGGUAUUACUUUUCCUGCCAGGGGUGCGCUCGGCCAGGCCCGCACGCGGUCCUCUGAGCCACGUGCCUGCCAUUGCCGGGGGGUGCUGUGCCCCUCCAGAGUUCUGGGCAUCUGUGCAAGCGCCUGAAUCUGUCCACGUGCACCCACCUAGGUGGCAUUUCGAGGUGGUGGCUCAGGCGACCCUUGGGGGCAGCGUCGGUGGGAGACGCUCCCUUCCACUCAGUGAGCGGGGACGUGUCCCGGUCCGGUGUUUGCCCCAUCCCUCAGCCUCCAUUGCUCAACCAGCAGCUCGGUGACCGUUCUGGGCGUCACCCCCUCUCUGAGCAAGGUGACUGGGCGGUCUCUGCACCCCUCCUAGGAGGUCUCAUUUGGAGCUGCACUUGGGGCGUCCUCACAGCGACCCUGACCCCCUGCCCCGCCCGCUGUCUUCCCACUCAAGCUCCUGAUCAGCUGCAGCCUGCACACCCGUGUCCUGGCUGGGGAAAGCGAGUCAGGACUCCCCCGCAGCAGGUGGGCGGGACAGCGACCGGAAGAUCGGAGGGUGGCCCGAACAACGGUGCUUUCCAGAAGAGGCUAGACAAUAUCAUCACUGGGAGAGUAUGUCGUUCACAGUUGUGGUCGUUGAUGUUUGUUUUUGUUUUGUUUUUUGAAAGAGAGAGCGAGCAUGAGUGGGAGGAGGGGGAGAGAAAGAGAGAGAGAGAGAGAGGGAGAAUCCCAAGCGGGCUCCGUGCGGAGCUGGGUGCCCCACUCAGGGUUCAAGCUCACGACUGUGAGAUCAUGACCUGAGCCGAGAUCGAGAGUUAGAAGCCCCCAGGGGGCACCUGGGUGGCUCAGUCGGUUAGGCGUCUGACUCGAGAUUUUGGCUCAGGUCAUGAUCUGCACAGGGUGUGAGUUCGAGGCCCGCAUCAGUCUCUGUGCUGACAGCCCCGUGCCUACUUGGGAUUCUGUCUGCCUCUCUCUCUGCCCCUCCCCUGCUUGCUUCCUAUAUCUCUAUCGAAAUAAAUAAAAAUAAACUUAAAAAAAAGAGUCAGAGGCUCAACUGACUGAGCCCCCAGGCACCCCUUGUUCAUAGUUUUUACAACCCAAAAAGUAUGCCCGAGGCCCAGAGAUCCUUCAGGAAGGAGGGAUAGUAUCAGCAAAGGACAACAAAAAUGGGAACGGUUAUUUUUUAAAGGAUCUGAGCUUAUGUAUGCCAAAAAAGAGAAAACAGAAGCCUUCUAUAGGUAUAAGAGAAUGUGGUGCUCUCUUCCACAAGUCCCCUGGCCAUUAAAAAAAAAAGGGGAUUUGGGGCGCCUGGGUGGCUGUCGGUUGAACGUCCGGCUUCGGCUCAAGUCAUGAUCUCACGGCCCGUGAGUUCAAGCCCCGCGUUGAGCUCUGUGCUGACAGCUCAGAG